GUCUGGGAGGCCAGAGGACGUGUCUGGUUAUUACACAGACUCAUAACUGUAGGUGGGAUUCACACAGCUCAGAACAGCUGGAUCUUGCUCAGUCUCUGUCAGGGGAAGGUUCCUUGACCUCUGGGGGGAUGGAGAAGAAACAGGCUGUGCUGUGUCCCUAAUGGGAAACAUGGCUGAGACAGGGGAAGUGAGAAGGGCACCUUGCAGAAUGGUGUCUGCAGCGUGAUGCCAGCUUUGCAAUCAUGAGAUUCAAAAGCCACACUGUGGAACUGAGGAGGCCCUGGAGCCUGAGAUAUGGAGCGAGCUGCUUUGCUGAGACUCUUUGUCCUCUGCAUCUGGACAAGUGCACUUUUCCUUGCUGUGGGAGUGAGGGCAGAGGAAGCUGCAGCGAGGGUGCAACAAAACGUUCCAAGUGGGACAGAUACAGGAGAUCCUCAAGGUAAGCCGCUCAGUGCCCCGGGCUGCUGACACCAUGGACCCAGAGAGCAGCAUUUCUCUUGAGGAUUACCUUAAUUAUUUCCAGAAAAACGUGAGCCCACAGGAGCUGCUACUCCUGCUGAGUGACAAUAAAGCCUGGGAGAGAGUGGUGGCCACUGCUGAACUGCCCAGGUAACCUCCAUGGGGUUAUCUCCAUUGGGAACCCUGGUGGUGCCACCCAGAUCCCUGGGGCUAGUUUUCCCUGACAGACACACCUCCUCCAGGCAGGCCCCUCUGCUGGGCUUGAGGAUGACCUUCUCGGCACUCCAGGAGGAACAUUUCCUCCCUGUCCUUCGCUGGCAGUGAGUAGCCUCAGGCUGAGAGGACAGGAAGCUCACAGGGACAGGGUCACUUCUGCCAUCUGCUGGUGAUGGGAAAUUUGCGAGUUACUUUCUCACUUUCAGCCUUUCUUCAUCCAUGGAGUUUGAUUGUGAGAAAAAUGAGAUCAUGCAUGUAAAGUACUUAGCAUAAUGACUGACACAUAGUAGGUGCACAGUUAAUGUUAACAUUUACAAGCUUGGUGGAAAAAGACCAGGGUCAAGGGUCUUCCUCUUGAAGUCCAGCAGGACUUCUUUUGGGACAAGUCAGAAAAAUCCUGACUUAAUUGAUGCGUGUUCCUGGGGAUGCUGGCUGGGGCCUUUUUUCUCAUCUGAGGAAUUCCAUAAAUGCGGCAGGACCCGUCUGCUGGUCCAGGAUGCUGAGAGGCUGGAGUGGAGUUGGACAGUGCUGGGUCUCUUUCCGGCUCUGACUGUGCCCAGUCCCUGGGCUCUAGGCUUAUGUCAUGGAGACUGGGAACUGUCAUCGGUCCUAUAGGAAUAGCAACUUAAUGUGACAGGAGUGUGGUGAACGCCUUAGAGUGAACUCCAGGUCAUAGGUGGGGAACCAAGACCAAGAUCCUGCCCAAAGGCCAAGAGAGACCGGGACCAGUGUCAGAGCCUGGGGUCAGGAUGCAGCAAGAGUCAGCCUUGUCUUUGUAGGACAAGCAGGAAGGUUGAGGCACCAGAGCUGGGACUAGGGUGUGGCAAGAGAGGCACCAAGGGCUUGAAACUUAAGGAGGGUCAUGAACUUGCAGAGGACAUGUGAGUGGGAGAGGAAUAUUUCUUCUCUGUCUGGAUGAUCCCAACACUCAUGGACAUAGAGGGUCAUGGCUGCCUGUGUCUCUCACACCCUGCCUGGGAACUGGCAAGUUCUGGGCUACCCUUUGGGAUCUUCUUCUCUUCUACACAAAGAAGCCCCUGACAAUGGCAAGCAGUAUGCCUUAGUGACCAUCUCCAUAGUAGAAUGAGUUGCUGCCAAUUUAUGUAAUUUCAGGGGUACUGAGUAGACUGACAAGUCCCCAACCAAGAAGGAAAACACUUCCUCUACCGUCUUGUCCAAAUUCAGGUCUUUUCAGCAUUAGCAAUUUAUAUAGAUGGUUCUGAAAGUGUCCUGAGUCUUCUAGAGGUUCCAUAACAUUGCACAUGGCCUUGGCGUGUGCACAGGUGAAGCUGUCACUGCUAAGGCAUCAGUUAGGCUGGUGACAUCUGCGAGUGAGACCUGGAAGGUUGGGGGUGCAGGGGGUAGGUCAGGAGGCGGUAAGGUGGCUGGAGAGGCCAUGUGGAGCCAGAAUGAAUACCCAGAUCUCCCACUCCAGUCAGCUGGGGCAGUUCCUGGGACAGUAGCCUUCAGCCAGAAAGUGAAAGGGCAUGAGGCCUUGGAAAGGAGCAGAUGCCAGGCAAAGUGAUCUCCUGUCUCUCUGAGGUUUGGUUUUCGUUUGAAUUCAAAGUACUCAGAGGUAGCCAGACUGCAAUGUCUGAAGGCACCUUACCUUUGAUACCACCUGCAAAUUAAUGGGGAUUCCUAAAAUCAUCUUUAGAUUUUAUAAUUCCCUAGAAGGAUUCAUACAACUCACUAAAAACUGCUAUUUCACGAUUGUGGCUUAUCACAGGGAAAGAACACAGAUUAAAAUCAGCCUAAGGAAGAGACACACAGGGGAGAUUCUGGGAGGGUUUCAGGUGUGAAGCUUCAUUGUCCUCAGGAUGCUGCGAUCUCCUGUGUCAAUGUGGGACAAGACACACGGGAUGUUGCCAACCAGGGAAGUUCACCCAGUUAAGGAAACAUUCCUGUGAAUCACAUGAAAUCAGGAAGGAAGCCUUUAUUCAGGAUGGUUGUUACAGGGGAGGGAGACUGAGCUCAGCUCCAAAUACAGUAAAGAGGGGGAGUCACAGCCAACACCAGGGUGAGGGGCGGCAGAUGAAAUAGUUCUGACAGGAGACACCAGAGUGGGAUGUUCCUGCCAAACUGCCCUAACAGGAGUCUCGCUAAAGGCAGGUCAGACACUCACCCAUCAAUGGUGGGUUGAGGAGCAUGAUCAGAUAGCAAAGGGUGCUCAGACAGCAAGUGGGGAGGACCCUCCCUAAACUGACUUGGGGAGAUUCUUGCUGAAAUCACCUGCCUUCUGCAUUGGUCUUGCUGGGAGCUGCAGACUGGAGCUGUUCCUAUUCGGCCAUCUUGCCAGAUCUU